rnacentral:rRNA from 1 species
CUGGCCUCAAAUCAGGUAGGGCUACCCGCUGAACUUAAGCAUAUCAAUAAGCGGAGGAAAAGAAACUAACUAGGAUUCCCUUAGUAACGGCGAGUGAACCGGGAUGAGCUCAAAUUUAAAAUCUGGCGUCUUUCAGGCGUCCGAGUUGUAAUCUAUAGAGGCGUUUUCCGCGCCGGACCGCGUCCAAGUCUCUUGGAAUAGAGUAUCAAAGAGGGUGACAAUCCCGUACUUGACGCGACAACCGGUGCUCUGUGAUACGUUCUCAAUGAGUCGAGUUGUUUGGGAAUGCAGCUCUAAAUGGGUGGUAAAUUCCAUCUAAGGCUAAAUAUUGGCGAGAGACCGAUAGCGAACAAGUACCGUGAGGGAAAGAUGAAAAGCACUUUGGAAAGAGAGUUAAACAGCACGUGAAAUUGUUAAAAGGGAAACGAUUGAAGUCAGUCGUGUGAAAGGUAUUCAGCCGUCUCUGGCGGUGUAUUUGCCUUUCACGGGUCAACAUCAGUUUGAUCCGGUAGAAAAAGGCGGGAGGAAGGUGGCACCCUCGGGUGUGUUAUAGCCUCCUGUCAUAUGUGCCGGACCAGACGUGAGGAACGCAGCUUGCCGCAAGGCCGGGGUUCGCCCACGUACAAGCUUAGGAUGUGA